rnacentral:rRNA from 1 species
GAUGAACGCUGGCGGCGUGCCUAAUACAUGCAAGUCGAGCGAACAGACGAGGAGCUUGCUCCUCUGACGUUAGCGGCGGACGGGUGAGUAACACGUGGAUAACCUACCUAUAAGACUGGGAUAACUUCGGGAAACCGGAGCUAAUACCGGAUAAUAUAUUGAACCGCAUGGUUCAAUAGUGAAAGACGGUUUUGCUGUCACUUAUAGAUGGAUCCGCGCCGCAUUAGCUAGUUGGUAAGGUAACGGCUUACCAAGGCGACGAUGCGUAGCCGACCUGAGAGGGUAAUCGCCCACACUGGAACUGAGCCACGGUCCAGACUCCUACGGGAGGCAGCAGUAGGGAAUCUUCCGCAAUGGGCGAAAGCCUGACGGAGCAACGCCGCGUGAGUGAUGAAGGUCUUCGGAUCGUAAAACUCUGUUAUUAGGGAAGAACAAAUGUGUAAGUAACUAUGCACGUCUUGACGGUACCUAAUCAGAAAGCCACGGCUAACUACGUG